rnacentral:rRNA from 3 species
GGGAUUGCCCUAGUAACGGCGAGUGAAGCGGCAACAGCUCAAAUUUGAAAUCUGGCGCAAGCCCGAGUUGUAAUUUGUAGAGGAUGCUUCUGGGUAGCGACCGGUCUAAGUUCCUUGGAACAGGACGUCAUAGAGGGUGAGAAUCCCGUAUGUGACCGGCCCGCACCCUUUACGUAGCUCCUUCGACGAGUCGAGUUGUUUGGGAAUGCAGCUCUAAAUGGGAGGUAAAUUUCUUCUAAAGCUAAAUACCGGCCAGAGACCGAUAGCGCACAAGUAGAGUGAUCGAAAGAUGAAAAGUACUUUGGAAAGAGAGUUAAAAAGCACGUGAAAUUGUUGAAAGGGAAGCGCCUGCAAUCAGACUUCGCGGCAGUGUUCCGCCGGUCUUCUGACCGGUUCAUUCUCUGUCGCGAGGCCAUCAUCGUCUCGGCCCGCUGGAUAAGACCUUGGGAAUGUAGCUCACCUUCGGGGGAGUGUUAUAGCUCAUGGUGAUGCAGCGAGGCUGGGGCGAGGUCCGCGCUUCGGCAAGGAUGAUGGCGUAAUGGUUGUCGGCGGCCCGUCUUGAAACACGGACCAAGGAGUCUAACAUCUAUGCGAGUGUUCGGGUGUCAAACCCCUACGCGUAAUGAAAGUGAACGGAGGUGGGAACCGCAAGGUGCACCAUCGACCGAUCCUGAUGUCCUCGGAUGGAUUUGAGUAAGAGCAUAGCUGUUGGGACCCGAAAGAUGGUGAACUAUGCCUGAAUAGGGUGAAGCCAGAGGAAACUCUGGUGGAGGCUCGCAGCGGUUCUGACGUGCAAAUCGAUCGUCAAAUUUGGGUAUAGGGGCG